GUAAAAAGAUGCACAUUUUCAAGAGGUUUUGUGGUCAAUUUCCAUACUAACAUUCCUUCAACCUAAAUACGACUUUAAUCCUAAUUUUUGUCCUGAUCCCCCAAGACCCCAGUCGUGAUAUAAAUUGUGACAUCAUUUAAGGAUAUUUUGAUGGGGAAAAAAUUUAUUUAAGUUUGUAUAAGCAGGUGUGCAAAGCUGCCUAAAAACAUUUGUAGUUGUAAGAUAUAGUUAUAAUGAAAUUAUAACAUCAAGUAUAAUUAUUGUAUAUUGAUAGAAUAGUGUUUCUAAUUUAUGAUAAGAAUAUAAUAUUAAAGUAACUGACAAGUAUUUGCUUCCAUCCAACUUACAUGCAUAAUGAGUGUUUCCAAUUUUUAAUUACCAUGUAUACUAUCUAUGUAAAAACUCUUAUUAAUGGUAUUUUCCUGUGCACCAGAAAAGAUAAAGUACCAUUAAUGGUAUUUUCCUCUGCACAGGAAAAAAUAAAAGUACCAUUAAUGGUAAAUAUUAAACAUCACAAUUUUUACUAAUUUACUAUAUGGAAAAUCUAUAGCGUUUACAAAUAAUUGCGCAAGCAAACUAAUUCAUCAUCAUACAGUUGCAAUUUUAAACUUAAU